UGCCUGAUAGCUCCGUCAAUAGAACAUGAGACUCUUAAUUUCAGGGUCUUGGGUUCAAGCCCCAAGUUGGGCAA